CCAAGGCCCCGCCCUACCCAUGGUGAGGCAGUGGAAUCUCCGCGGGUCCGCCACGUUGUAGGUGGUGGCGGCGCAGACAGCACCCCCCUGCCACCCGGAGAGAUGUCGAAGAGUCACCCUUCCUGCAAGUGGUGUCACCGCUGCGUUUCCAGUCCAACCCUGCAAACUCCACCCCAAAGAUUUUGGAAAGGGGAUGCCAAGCACCAGCUCUCCAGGAGGAGACUGGGCAGAGAAAAGUGGCCGGAGCAGGGAGCCUGGGUAGCAGCUACACGUUCCCAGAUCGUUUCCCCAGAUCAGCUAACUUCCAAGAAACUUCUCUCUCCACCUGAGAGAGAAACAGAGUGCACAGAUCCAAGAGCACGGCCUGGAGGCAUGGCUCCGUCUCUCUGUCCUCUUUCUCCCUCUUCUCCUCUCCAUCUCUUCCCAGCGUUCUCUCUUGCCUGCUAGAGGAGUAAUUGGGUUGUGGGGAUGCCCCGCUCUGGGGAGCCCAGGA